rnacentral:lncRNA from 1 species
AAGCAGCCGCAGCAGGAGUAGCCGAAACUGUCGCAGUCACGCCCGCCUUCUUCGGCGCGUGCAAGCCCUCCAGCACCACCUUCACCUUGCCGUACACAUCGUCCGGAGCCGCCACAGCGCUGAUCACGUGGCACUUGCCCUGCGUAAGGUAGUGGUCCUUCACAGGCAGCGACUGAUCCAGGAAGGUGCGGAAGCGCUUGCGAAUGGUGUCGGCGUUGUCGUCGCUGCGGCCGCUGGUCUCCCCGCGCUUCAGCAGGCGCUUCUCCAUCUCCUCCUCCGGGCAGUCGAAGAACAGCACCGUCUUGCACGGCAUGAUGCUGCUCUCAAACUGCGCCGCCUGGUCCAGCGCGCGCGGAAAGCCGUCGAUGAGGAAGAACUUGCCGCCGCUGGCUAUCAUGUCCCGCUUCAGCAGGUUAAGCGUGACAGCCACCGGCACGAGCUUGCCCUCCUUCAUCAGCGCCUCGCACUUCUGGCCGACCUCGCUGCCGCUCUUCACCUCAGCGCGCAGCAGGUCGCCGGCGCUGAGGUGCACGCACUCGUAGUCGGCCUUAAUCUUGUCGCAUUGCGUCCCCUUGCCGCUGCCGGGGCCGCCGAGCACGAACACGAUCUGGGCGUCGGCAGGCAGGUUGCCGGGCACAGGUGGCAGCGCGAUGUCCUGCAUAAAAGCAACCAAGGGAACAAACGUGCAAUCAUAAGGUGUUGGCUGUGGCGCCGACCAUGACCCAGUGCCCUUGUACACAAAGCAAUGGGGCGUGCCGUACGCGCCGCACACACAGAACAGCGGUUUGGUGGCUGGAAACAUAAGAUGCGGCACGGUAUCCCUAUCUGCAGGUCGGCUUCUCAAGUGUUCAACUUAGGCAAGACGCACCUCCGAAGCAGCCGGGGCCGCUGCAAGUGCCGUCGCCGCUGCGCUCGCCUUCUUCGGCGCGUGCAAGCCCUCCAGCACCACCUUCACCUUGCCGUACACAUCGUCCGGAGCCGCCACAGCGCUGAUCACGUGGCACUUGCCCUGCGUAAGGUAGUGGUCCUUCACGGGCAGCGACUGAUCCAGGAAGGUGUGGAAGCGCUUGCGAAUGGUGUCGGCGUUGUCGUCGCUGCGGCCGCUGGUCUCCCCGCGCUUCAGCAGGCGCUUCUCCAUCUCCUCCUCCGGGCAGUCAAAGAACAGCACCGUCUUGCACGGCAUGAUGCUGUUCUCAAACUGCGCCGCCUGGUCCAGCGCGCGCGGAAAGCCGUCGAUGAGGAAGAACUUGCCGCCGCUGGCUAUCAUGUCCCGCUUCAGCAG